rnacentral:ncRNA from 1 species
UAAAACAUGUUGAAAGGCAGAGUAAGUGCUCAAGCUUUUUAGAGAGCUGCUGGUUGGUGGAAAGCAGUAAGUGGCCGCACCGAAGAUGGGCCUGGAAUGGUACCGGUGAUUAUUAGCCGGUAACGGGUUAGCACACGUUAAUUGUGCUGGGUAAUUCUAAUUAUUUUGUUAGAGUAACCCACUGAGGCUGAGUCAGUGAUGACCCAGCGAACAAAGGUGGUAACGCGAAGCACUCGUCCUUUAU